GUACUCUCACACUCUCCGAUCCUUUGGAUUUGGGGAGUGGUGGACUUGGGUGCUUGCUGCCUUCGGUUGUGGCUCACCUCAAAUGCGUCAGUGCAUCUCUUGAUUGGACAUAGUACGGCGUGAUAAGUGUCUUCGCCGGCACCUCUUUCAGAGGGUGGCUGAUUGGGAGCUCUGUGCUUCAAACUAACUGUCUUAGGACACUCUCUGACA
rnacentral:misc_RNA from 1 species